rnacentral:rRNA from 1 species
AGCCUGAUCAGCCAUGCCGCGUGUCUGAAGAAGGCCUUCGGGUUGUAAAGGACUUUUGUCAGGGAAGAAAAGGUUGUGGUUAAUACCCAUGACUGAUGACGGUACCUGAAGAAUAAGCACCGGCUAACUACGUGCCAGCAGCCGCGGU